rnacentral:rRNA from 1 species
AUACGUAGGGUGCGAGCGUUGUCCGGAAUUACUGGGCGUAAAGAGCUCGUAGGUGGUUUGUCGCGUCGUCUGUGAAAUUCCGGGGCUUAACUCCGGGCGUGCAGGCGAUACGGGCAUAACUUGAGUACUGUAGGGGAGACUGGAAUUCCUGGUGUAGCGGUGAAAUGCGCAGAUAUCAGGAGGAACACCGGUGGCGAAGGCGGGUCUCUGGGCAGUAACUGACGCUGAGGAGCGAAAGCAUGGGUAGCGAACAGGAUUAGAUACCCCGGUAGUCCAUGCCGUAAACGGUGGGCGCUAGGUGUAGGGGUCUUCCACGACUUCUGUGCCGUAGCUAACGCAUUAAGCGCCCCGCCUGGGGAGUACGGCCGCAAGGCUAAAACUCAAAUGAAUUGACGGGG